CACACCGCACUGCUUCAACCCAGUAGAUGGGGCCAGGCCUAGUACUCUGUGCACAAGCCAGAACCAUAGUCAAGCUUUCGCUUUCACUCCCGAAACGGAAAUUCCGGUUCAAGCCCCACCAUCAUCACCUCUACUAUGUACCUCGAAAUCUUCCUUCAACUCGCGUCUUUUGCGGUUGCGUUGGUUCCGAAACCCCAACGGUAGUAGAUAUAGCCACAUACAAUGAAGCUUUCUCAAGGCGAAUGGCCAUGGCCGGACUCAAACGCCGAAACCGUAUCGCUUUAGGAGUAUCCGGGGGACCUGAUAGCAUGGCCUUGUGUAUUCUAGCCGCUAAUUGGAAAACUGAAGGCCUAUGUGGGAAUGGCGACAGUGGCAAAUUCAUUGAUGGUCUUUUGGCAAUAAUUGUUGAUCAUGGGCUACGUCCAGAGAGCAAAGAUGAAGCAAGUCUAGUGGGACAUCGGGUUUCAGAAAUGGGAAUCAGAUGUGAGAUUGCCCGUUGUGAUUGGUUGAAUGGCAAGCCAAAACAAGGUCAUUUGCAAGAAGCUGCUCGUGACGGGAGGUAUAAAAUAUUUCAGGAUGUUUGUAUGCGAAACCAGAUCAGUGUUUUACUUGUUGCGCAUCAUGCAGAUGACCAGGCUGAGUUAUUCAUUCUUAGAUCAUCUCGUAAUAGUGGGGUCCUUGGACUUGCUGGCAUGGCAUUUACAUCUCAAGUGUUCUCGUCACAUACAUAUUUUUAUAACGAAGAUUGGAAAAAUCAUAGUGUUCUUCUAGUGCGACCACUGCUGGAUUUUUCAAAAGAAGACAUGUACAAGAUAUGUCAAGGGAGUAACCGGGGUUGGGUUGAGGAUCCAACAAAUCGAAGUCCUUUAUUUGCUCGGAAUAGGAUUCGGAUGUCAUUAGGAAAUUUGUCAUCAGGUAUCUUUAAGUCUGAACUACAAGCAGUUAUUUCUGCCUGUCGAAAAACACGCACCUAUAUUGAUCAAAUUUGCAAGAAUUUGAUAAAUCACACUGUUACCAUAAUGGAUCAAGGUUAUGCGGUUAUCAAUUUAAAGGCACUUGAUCCAUCAAAAAUUGAAGAUAUAUGCCUUUCUAAAUUUAUUGCAUUGGUUUUACAGUUUGUUUCACAAAGGCAAAGACCAAUUGGAGGUAAUACUUCAAAAUUGCUGUUGCAGUACAUACGUACCAUCCCAUGUAAGACCUCCCUUACUGCUGCUGGUUGCUACAUUUGUCCAGUUCCUGGGUCUAAGGGUGCCAAAGCUCUGGUCUGCUGCUCUGUCAAUUGUCCUCUGCCUUCAAAGACAGAAUUAUUUCGCACACUCUCUGGUGAAGAACAGGAGCAUUUUUUUUCAAAUGAGUUGGAACAAAUUAUAGCGAAUGGAAAAUCAUCUGAUAACUUGGCACCAGAUGCAUUCCAAGUGCAGUUUUUGGACACGAGGUCUGCAUCAGUUCUCGAUGAAGCCCAAAGACUAGAUAUUAUCAGUGAGUCAACCUAUGGAAACAUUUUUUUAUUGCAAAAGGAGGAAGUCAAACAUUUCAAGUUUAAAACUGAUGAAAUUGCAUCUGAGUGUGAGUCAAAGCAGGAAACUGAACAUGUUGCUGCAUUUCUGAGUGAACGACUUCUCCAUGGGCAAACAUGCUACUUCAUGAACCGCUUCAUUAUCUCAUGGAAACUAAGUGAGGAAAUUUCUAGUGAUGUGUUUCCUGGUGAAGUUUAUUGUCUUUCGUAUUUGGGAAGGGAAAAUCAGCACAGUCACUGCUGUUGUAUAAACAGGCAUGACAUGAUAGCCCAGGUGCGUACCAUGAUUGAAGCUGACUGGCUUUAUCUUGCGGAGUUGUCAAAGUGGCCAUGUUCAGAUGAUUCUGAAGUGAUAAGACUUCCAUUAACCAAGAAGAUAACAUGCUCAGAUUAUUCAAGGUUGUCGGCCAAAGGAGCACUUAAAUCACUGAAAUCUGUCCCUGUUGCUGCAAGAAGAAGCAUUCCUGUCCUGGUCAAUCAUCAUGGACAGCUACUAAGCAUCCCAAGCAUUGGCUUUAAUCAUUGCCCUUUCUUGAUGGCAUCUGCUGCAUUCAAGCCAAGAGUACCACUAGGCGGAGGACACAGCUCCUUUCUUUAGUCAUCGUAAAUUCUGUUCACCAGGCCUAUAAAUUUACACGUGCCAGGGAUUCCUGGACGAAUACCAUUUUUCCCAGAAAAAGCUUGGAGGAAUUCUGGUUCAUAAUGGAAAGCUUAUUGUUAAUGGGGUUGUACGAGAUGAAGAGUUCAUCAAUGAAGCACCUUCUUAUGAAAUGACACCAAUUGUAAGUAUUGAUUUCUAAUCUUAAGAAUCCUAUAGCUUUAAUUUUUAUUUCCAUAGGCCCAAGCCAAAUGAGUGGGGUGGCUAUUGAGCAGAAAAUUAUAGAUAAGUUUUGCCUGCAUGAGAGAGAUAAAGACUGAAAGAAUAGAAAGAAAGAGGGGAAGAUUGGAAGGGGUUUGGAGACAAUUGUGCUUACAAAACCUUUUCGGUGAAGUAGAGGAUGAACCAUGGUCUUGAGUUGAGGCACAAAUAUUUCACUAGUUGUACUUUUGCCUUAUUUGUAAGUUUGUGCCAUAUGUUUCUGAUUGUAUAUAUAUGCUAUUCAUGUUGCAGCUAGUACUG